rnacentral:miRNA from 1 species
GUCCUGAGCCCGCUCCUGGUCCUGGUUCUGGUCCUUGUCCCAGUCCAGGUCCUGGUCCUGGUCCUGGUGCUGGCC